rnacentral:lncRNA from 1 species
CUCUCUUGCAAAGCCGGGAGCGAAGCUCAUAGCAUCUGCAACGAAGCAAGUCACCCGUCUACGGGCGGCGCCGCCCAAGAAAUUCUCCUGGACCAUCAUUUUCUUGAAGAGCGGCACCGUGACUUUUUCGAUGGAGAAGAUGAGGUCCAGGGCUCUCUCCCCGGUGCGGGGGUGGUCGUCGGGGAGGCCGUCGGGGAGAGUGCGGAACUGGAACCCCGGGUAGCGGGCGAAGGCGGCGAGGGCGGUGGUGUGCUCGAGGAGGCGGCGGUGGUUGAAGUCGGAGAUGAUGAAGGUGACGUGGAAGUCGGAUAGGCAGAAGAGAUGCGCGAGAUUGAGCAUGGAGUUGAGAUGCCCCUGAAUCGGAUAAGGGAAAAUCAGCACGUGCGGUGGCAGAUCUUUUCCUUCUUCACAGCUCAUCUUCUUCCAGUUCUGAACUUCCAAUUUAAUGGCUUUUGUUUUCGUUUCUGACUUCUGAGUAUUGCAAUUUAUAGAUGAAAUGAAUGACAAAUUUUGUUGUCCCACUUUUCAUGUCCACCGCUUAUUCCACUGUCAUGUUUUUAUAGUUUUUAAUUGGGUAAAUAAUGAAAAACCCGUGAACUAUAUUCACUUUAUCAAAAAUACUUUGAAACUUUUGAAAUGUUCUCUAAACACUCAAACUAUCAUGUUUUUAUCAAAUUUAUUUUGCAUCUAUUUUUUUCAAUUUUUCAACCUACAGUAUAUAUUAAUGCAGGAAAGUGACGUGAGUUGGCAUUUAUGGCAUAUUUCUGACAUUGUGUAAGAACUUUUACAAAAAACCAAACAUGCCUAUCACCAUCACUUUUGCUUUUGGGUAAUGUGGGUAGUUUUGUAAGAUAGAUUAUAAGAGUGGGUAGAUUAAAUUUCGACCCAAAAUAUAUAUUAGCCUAUUUUUUCAAAAUGCCCCAACAUAAAUAAUUUUAAACUCUUCAGAAUGAAUCUUAAUUUUCAUUCAAAAUGAGUCAUUUAUUUAUAUGGCAAAAAAAUUCUCGUUUAUUCAUCUUUUCACAUUUUCACCUACUACACUUAACACAUUAAAAAUUGUUUUCUUAAUUCUCGUGUCGAAAAGAAUUGAUUCAAGGUUCACGGGAACGGAGGGUGUAGAAUAUAUAUGGUGUAUCUGACCUUGGAAAGGAAUUUCUUGAGCUUCAAGCAGCUGAGGACAGCAAAACAUAGCCCAGUAGAAGGCGGCGCUAGCAGUUUGGAAGAGGAUGUACGGAAGCUGAUGCUCUCUCGCAAACUCGGGGGCGAACCUCAUAGCAUCGGCAACGAAGCAACUCACGCGUCUACGGGCGGCGCCGCCCAAGAAAUUCUCGUCGAGCAUCAUUUUCUUGAAGAGCGGCACCGUGACUUUUUCCAUGGAGAAGAUGAGGUCCAGGGCUCUCUCCCCGGCGCGGGGGUGGUCGUCGGGGAGGCCGUCGGGGAGAGUGCGGAACUGGAACCCCGGGUAGCGGGCGAAGACGGCGAGGGCGGUGGUGUGCUCGAGGAGGCGGCGGUGGUUGAAGUCGGAGAUGAUGAAGGUGACGUGGAAGUCGAAUAAGCAGAAGAGAUGCGCGAGAUUGAGCAUGGGGCUGAGAUGGCCCAGAAGUGGAAAAGGGAAAAUCAGCACGUGCGGCGGCAGAUCUUUACCUUGUUCAGAGCUCAUCUUCUUCCAAUCUGAUCUAGGAAUUUAAAAGCUUUUGUUUUCGUUUCUGAGUCUUGCAAUUAUCAGAUGAAAUGAAUUAUUGAAUUGAGGCACAAACUCAUUCUCCCACUUUUGAUGUCCCACCACUUAUUCCAUUAUCUAUCCUUGUGAUUUGAAUUAUUGGUUUAAUGAUUGGAGAAAAAAAGUCUUAUUAACUGAGUUGUGUUUCACUAUCUUAUUCUAACACUAUUUUAAGGCAAGACACUUUCACUUCUCACAAUACACUUUUUUUUUUUUUAAGGUAAAUAAGAUAAAUAAAAGGGGUACUUAACCCAAAAGGUACAUAAGAGCAUAUUACAUGACAAGUUAGAACUUGGAAGGAAAACAACGGAUCGGAUCAACAAACCAAUCGUGAACCGAACAACAAAAGUUACUAGACAACAUCGCCUUAAUCCUUCUCCAAGAGCAAAAGAUAAUGUUAUCCACAGCCGAAUCAACGCAUCUAUUUUUAAAGAUUCUCUCAUUUCGAGCUUUCCAACUCCAACAAGCACAUUGCCAGAUCAUGUUAAACAUCGAUUUUUCCAUCUUGUUCUUGCCAUUCACAAUACACUUACAUAUUUUUAUAAAACUUAUGUCACUCACGCAAAUCGAAGCGAGUAAUAAAACAACACAAAUUAAUUCUCCUAUGAGAUUGAGUGUAUGGGUGAGACGGGUCGGGUCGAGGUUGGUUAAUAAUUUAAAAUAAUUAUUGUUGUGAUGAAAAGUAAUAUAUAUCUUGAAAAAUACAUGUCAUCAACUUUUUUGAUAUAAGGUAUCAUUAUAUUAUUUAUGAAUAAUGUUGUUUUUGUUGAAUUUUGGAGACGGCUGAAAUCAUUAUUUUUUAUAUUAAAAAAACAAGCAACAGAAACAUUUAUAUAGGCUUAAAUAGAAAUAAAAAAACAAUUAUGUACUGAGUUGGGUUCUCUAUUUGAAUGGGCCCAUUGAGGAAAUUUUCAGACAACACUACGACAGGCUUGACAAAAUAAAUUGCCAUUGUAAAAGACUAUCACCACAAAAAUGCCGAUUUAAUCUAGUUCCACCAUUUUUUUUUUUGAAGCAGUUCUAUUUUAUUCAACAAAAAACAUUUUAAAGUUGUCAUCAAUUGAAAUCUCACAAACACAAAAAGUGAGAGGGAGCAUUCUUGCUCUGGUUCAAGGACAAGACAAACUUGUUAAAUUGCACACUCGUUUUAAUUCUGUUUGCAAUUUUUGAGGAUAUACCAACAAAAACAUCUUUAAAAAUAACAAUAACAAUAAUCACAAUACCAAUGACUCGAUAUACUGAACUAGAGCAUCCAUAUUAGUAUACGACGAACCACCUUUACUUGCAGACAUUUUCACAAGUUUAGCCAUAUUUUCUGCCCUUUUCAAAAACUCAUCUUUUCUCACUUCCAUCAAAUCCCUCACUGCCUUCUCAAUAAUCAAUCUAUCACAAGUGUCUUUUAUGUCCAACCCAAUCUUCCAAACCUCACCCACAAACCUACUAUUAGUGGUUUGGUCACCGAGAUAAGGCCAACAUAUCAUCGGCACGCCGGCCACAAUGCUCUCGAGAGUCGAGUUCCAUCCACUGUGCGUCAAGAAUCCCCCCACUGCGGGGUGGUUGAGCACCUUCUCCUGCGGCGCCCACUCCACCAACAGACCCUUUUCUUUACUACGUUCCAUUAAUUCCGCAAAAACUUUUUCAUUUCCUUCAUUGCCAGUGAUGGAAUCCGGCCUCAUCACCCACAAGAACCUCUGCGAACUAUCGAGCAAGCCGUGCCAGAACUCUAACAGUUGCUCUCUCGUCACAAGUGUUAUGCUCCCAAAGCUCACAUAGAUGACAGAUUUUGGUGGCUGCGCGUCCAACCAAUCGAUGCACCUCCGAUCCUCUGCCCAUAGACUCGCCUUGAUGAUGGAGACCUCCGCCUUCUUCUCCAUCAGUCUGGAUUUAAGUUGCUCGUGGAUUGGACCAAUGGAGAAAAUUCUCCGCACAUGCUUUUGUAUCUCUGCCAUUACCGGUCCCUCGAGAUCUUCACAAGUGUUAAAUAUGACCCAUUCCUUCACAGUUUGAUGCCCUAACUCUUGUAGAAUCGGGUCGUUUACAUCGUCGGCACGGUAAAAACUGGGCAGGUCACGCCGUCGGAGAAAACCUUCCAUUCCCGGUACACUUUUAACUAAUUCAUCCAUCGAUUUUCCUGCAAAACCCUCAUAGAGAUUAUAGAGUUACAUAUAUCUCUUUGGUUGUAAAUUUUCACAUUUUAGGGGUCCCAUCUUUUUAUCCCAUAUCCUAUAGGGUAUGUAAAAAAAUAAAAAUGAUUGCCAAAACUGACCUCGGAAAGGAAUAUCUUGAGCUUGAAGCAGCUGAGGAAAGCAAAAAAGAGCCCAGGAGAAGGCGGCGCUAGUAGUGUGGAAGAUGAUGAGCGGAAGCUGGUGCUCUCUAGCGAAGUCGGGGACGAAACGCAUAGCAUCGGCAACGAAGCAAGUCACGCGUCUACGGGCGGCGCCGCCGGCCAAGAAAUUCUCGUGGAUCAUCAUUUUCUUCAAGAGCGGCGCGGUGACUUUUUCGAUGGAGAACACGAGGUCCACGGCGCUCUCCCCCGCGCGGGGGUGGUCGUCGGGGAGGCCGGCGGGGAGAGUGCGGAACUGGAACCCUGGGUAGCGGGCGAAGGCGGCGGGGACGGUGGUGUGCUCGAGCGGCGGUGGUUGAAGUCGGAGAUGAUGAAGGUGACGUGGAAGUCGGAUAAGCAGAAGAGAUGAGCGAGAUUGAGCAUGGAGUUGAGAUGCCCCUGAAUCGGAUAAGGGAAAAUCAGCACGUGCGGUGGCAGAUCUUUUCCUUCUUCACAGCUCAUCUUCUUCCAAUUCUAACUUCCAA